CAUUUAUCAAGUAUGUUUUCAAAUUUAAGUACUGUUUUAUUUAUCUAUAGUAUCACAUGACGUUGGGAGUCUAGCGAUUGGUCAGAGGUCAUUGCCUGGGCAUGUUCUGGCAAAGUCUGAUCCAAAGACAGAUGAUGUUAUAUACAUGAGGUUGACUUCCAGUUCAGCCAUCCUUCAAAAUACUGUAGCGUUUCUACGUUUACAUAUACCCGCGGAUAAGGUGGUUGCUUCAGGACACACAAGAAGAAGGAAUGAAGAGUAUGACGUCUUCUAUAAUGGGGUUGUCAUGCAGCUCGAACAUUCCAAACAAUUCAACAGCCUUGAACAAUGAAUUGUAGUGUUAAUUCAUUGGUAUAUGAUGGAAAUAAAAAAAAUGUACUCUAUUCUUUCUGCUGUUUCUUGUUAUACUGUCAUUGGCGAAUGAAUAUAAUUUUGGUGUUAUCCGUAUGUUCUUCUGUCGAUAGCAGAAAAUGUUCUUCUACAUGUGCUCUAAAAUUAAUAACUACACAUGCUCUAAUUUGAAAAAAACAACACAAUACUUAUGGGGUGUAGAUGGUGAAGGAAUGUAAUUUAGAUGUUAUCCGUCUGUUCUUCAGCCUGUUACCAUAUUUCGAUAGCAGAAAUAUGUUGUACUACAUGUGUUCUAAAAUUAUUAAAAGUACAAAAUACGUAUGGGGGUGUGGAAACCUAACAUAUUGUGUAUCAUAUGUGACAUUAUUUUGCAAAACCAAAUAGGACCAUUUUUGCGCUCAAUUAUAUUUGAAUUUCAGUUAAGAAUGGGAUAUUUAGAUCAGACUGCGUACAUAAGAAGCUGUCUUAGAAAUCG